CUGAAUGGAAGGGCCAUCGCUCAACGGAUAAAAGGUACUCCGGGGAUAACAGGCUGAUACCGCCCAAGAGUUCAUAUCGACGGCGGUGUUUGGCACCUCGAUGUCGGCUCAUCACAUCCUGGGGCUGAAGUAGGUCCCAAGGGUAUGGCUGUUCGCCAUUUAAAGUGGUACGCGAGCUGGGUUUAGAACGUCGUGAGACAGUUCGGUCCCUAUCUGCCGUGGGCGCUGGAGAACUGAGGGGGGCUGCUCCUAGUACGAGAGGACCGGAGUGGACGCAUCACUGGUGUUCGGGUUGUCAUGCCAAUGGCACUGCCCGGUAGCUAAAUGCGGAAGAGAUAAGUGCUGAAAGCAUCUAAGCACGAAACUUGCCCCGAGAUGAGUUCUCCCUGACUCCUUGAGAGUCCUGAAGGAACGUUGAAGACGACGACGUUGAUAGGCCGGGUGUGUAAGCGCAGCGAUGCGUUGAGCUAACCGGUACUAAUGAACCGUGAGG
rnacentral:rRNA from 1 species